rnacentral:lncRNA from 1 species
GUUAAUGAACUUUUUACUUAUUAAGAUUUUGCCAUAAUCAGCACAUACCUUUUUAACUUUCUAAUGUAUAAUAAAAAUGUAAUGAAAUUGCAUAUUUCAUUAUGGUUUUGAUUUUAAAAUGUUCUAAUACUGAAUAGUGUAGAGAAAUAAAACAAUUUAGAUACAUGACUUUGGGUAACUUACUAUUACUGGGUCUUUCUCACACAGGGAUGACCACAUGUAAGAAAGUUAACACUUAUUUAGGUAUAUAUCAGGCUGUAAUAAACUUUAUUUACAUUAAUUCCUGAAUUUAAAUUUAUCAUGUUUUUUAUAAUGAUUUCAAUAUUAUAGAAAUUUCUUUCUAUAAUUGUGAUGUCUUGAGUGUGAGAUGUUCAGUCCUGACCCAAAUACUGUCUUGUUGACUGACUCAUUCACCUGGUUUACUUUCUGUGUUAAAGUCAGCUGUAAACCUAAUAGCUACAUUUGUUUGUCAUUCUGUAAGAGCUGGACCAUAACCCACCAACCAAUCAUAUUAGUUAAGAUACUAAACAAUGAGAACAUUAUUAAUAAAAAUUUUAUUAAUGUAAACUAAACAAUCAAGAAGAAUCUUAAGAAAAUACAAAAUAGGAACAGAAAUGCUAAAAUCUUGCAUACAAUAAUUAUUAAGUUGUAUAGUUGCUUUUAUCAAACUUUUCUUCAUAUUGUCAAAAUGAAGAUAUAGUUUAAUGAAAAUAACAAUUCCUAGAUGAAGAUAAUAUUUCACCACUGAGGACAAUUCAAAUUCCACAAUUUUUACAUAAGAUAAUGACAACAAUGCUCAUAAUGCAGCUGGACUCAUUUUAACUUGCUCCAUCUACAGCACCAGUGGUUGUCCUAUUUAUUCAGUUGGUCAUUUACUCAAUUAUCAAAUGGAAAUCUCCUUGUACAACCUUCAACAAAAUUUUCUCCUUUAUUUAAAAA